rnacentral:rRNA from 3 species
CUGCGAUAAGCGCCGGUAAGGUGAUAUGAACCGUUAUAACCGGCGAUACCCGAAUGGGGAAACCCAGUGUGAUUCGUCACACUAUCAUUAACUGAAUCCAUAGGUUAAUGAGGCGAACCGGGGGAACUGAAACAUCUAAGUACCCCGAGGAAAAGAAAUCAACCGAGAUUCCCCCAGUAGCGGCGAGCGAACGGGGAGGAGCCCAGAGCCUGAAUCAGCAUGUGUGUUAGUGGAAGCGUCUGGAAAGGCGCGCGAUACAGGGUGACAGCCCCGUACACAAAAGCGCAUGUGCUGUGAGCUCGAUGAGUAGGGCGGGACACGUGGUAUCCUGUCUGAAUAUGGGGGGACCAUCCUCCAAGGCUAAAUACUCCUGACUGACCGAUAGUGAACCAGUACCGUGAGGGAAAGGCGAAAAGAACCCCGGCGAGGGGAGUGAAAAAGAACCUGAAACCGUGUACGUACAAGCAGUGGGAGCACCCUUUGGGUGUGACUGCGUACCUUUUGUAUAAUGGGUCAGCGACUUAUAUUCUGUAGCAAGGUUAACCGAAUAGGGGAGCCGGAGGGAAACCGAGUCUUAACCGGGCGUUAAGUUGCAGGGUAUAGACCCGAAACCCGGUGAUCUAGCCAUGGGCAGGUUGAAGGUUGGGUAACACUAACUGGAGGACCGAACCGACUAAUGUUGAAAAAUUAGCGGAUGACCUGUGGCUGGGGGUGAAAGGCCAAUCAAACCGGGAGAUAGCUGGUUCUCCCCGAAAGCUAUUUAGGUAGCGCCUCGUGAAUUCAUCUCCGGGGGUAGAGCACUGUUUCGGCUAGGGGGCCAUCCCGGCUUACCAACCCGAUGCAAACUGCGAAUACCGGAGAAUGUUAUCACGGGAGACACACGGCGGGUGCUAACGUCCGUCGUGAAGAGGGAAACAACCCAGACCGCCAGCUAAGGUCCCAAAGUCAUGGUUAAGUGGGAAACGAUGUGGGAAGGCCCAGACAGCCAGGAUGUUGGCUUAGAAGCAGCCAUCAUUUAAAGAAAGCGUAAUAGCUCACUGGUCGAGUCGGCCUGCGCGGAAGAUGUAACGGGGCUAAACCAUGCACCGAAGCUGCGGCAGCGACACUGUGUGUUGUUGGGUAGGGGAGCGUUCUGUAAGCCUGUGAAGGUGUGUCGUGAGGCAUGCUGGAGGUAUCAGAAGUGCGAAUGCUGACAUAAGUAACGAUAAAGCGGGUGAAAAGCCCGCUCGCCGGAAGACCAAGGGUUCCUGUCCAACGUUAAUCGGGGCAGGGUGAGUCGACCCCUAAGGCGAGGCCGAAAGGCGUAGUCGAUGGGAAACGGGUUAAUAUUCCCGUACUUGGUGUUACUGCGAAGGGGGGACGGAGAAGGCUAUGUUGGCCGGGCGACGGUUGUCCCGGUUUAAGCGUGUAGGUGUGUGUUCCAGGUAAAUCCGGUUCACUUUAACACUGAGGCGUGACGACGAGGCACUACGGUGCUGAAGCAACAAAUGCCCUGCUUCCAGGAAAAGCCUCUAAGCAUCAGGUAACAUCAAAUCGUACCCCAAACCGACACAGGUGGUCAGGUAGAGAAUACCAAGGCGCUUGAGAGAACUCGGGUGAAGGAACUAGGCAAAAUGGUGCCGUAACUUCGGGAGAAGGCACGCUGACACGUAGGUGAAGUGAUUUACUCAUGGAGCUGAAGUCAGUCGAAGAUACCAGCUGGCUGCAACUGUUUAUUAAAAACACAGCACUGUGCAAACACGAAAGUGGACGUAUACGGUGUGACGCCUGCCCGGUGCCGGAAGGUUAAUUGAUGGGGUCAGCGCAAGCGAAGCUCCUGAUCGAAGCCCCGGUAAACGGCGGCCGUAACUAUAACGGUCCUAAGGUAGCGAAAUUCCUUGUCGGGUAAGUUCCGACCUGCACGAAUGGCGUAAUGAUGGCCAGGCUGUCUCCACCCGAGACUCAGUGAAAUUGAACUCGCUGUGAAGAUGCAGUGUACCCGCGGCAAGACGGAAAGACCCCGUGAACCUUUACUAUAGCUUGACACUGAACAUUGAGCCUUGAUGUGUAGGAUAGGUGGGAGGCUUUGAAGUGUGGACGCCAGUCUGCAUGGAGCCGACCUUGAAAUACCACCCUUUAAUGUUUGAUGUUCUAACGUGGACCCGUUACCCGGGUUGCGGACAGUGUCUGGUGGGUAGUUUGACUGGGGCGGUCUCCUCCUAAAGAGUAACGGAGGAGCACGAAGGUUGGCUAAUCCUGGUCGGACAUCAGGAGGUUAGUGCAAUGGCAUAAGCCAGCUUGACUGCGAGCGUGACGGCGCGAGCAGGUGCGAAAGCAGGUCAUAGUGAUCCGGUGGUUCUGAAUGGAAGGGCCAUCGCUCAACGGAUAAAAGGUACUCCGGGGAUAACAGGCUGAUACCGCCCAAGAGUUCAUAUCGACGGCGGUGUUUGGCACCUCGAUGUCGGCUCAUCACAUCCUGGGGCUGAAGUAGGUCCCAAGGGUAUGGCUGUUCGCCAUUUAAAGUGGUACGCGAGCUGGGUUUAGAACGUCGUGAGACAGUUCGGUCCCUAUCUGCCGUGGGCGCUGGAGAACUGAGGGGGGCUGCUCCUAGUACGAGAGGACCGGAGUGGACGCAUCACUGGUGUUCGGGUUGUCAUGCCAAUGGCACUGCCCGGUAGCUAAAUGCGGAAGAGAUAAGUGCUGAAAGCAUCUAAGCACGAAACUUGCCCCGA